CUUUCCCUCUGGCGUUAGGCCUAACACAUGCAAGUCGAACGGCAGCACAGUAAGAGCUUGCUCUUACGGGUGGCGAGUGGCGGACGGGUGAGGAAUACAUCGGAAUCUACUUUUUCGUGGGGGAUAACGUAGGGAAACUUACGCUAAUACCGCAUACGACCUACGGGUGAAAGCAGGGGAUCUUCGGACCUUGCGCGAUUGAAUGAGCCGAUGUCGGAUUAGCUAGUUGGCGGGGUAAAGGCCCACCAAGGCGACGAUCCGUAGCUGGUCUGAGAGGAUGAUCAGCCACACUGGAACUGAGACACGGUCCAGACUCCUACGGGAGGCAGCAGUGGGGAAUAUUGGACAAUGGGCGCAAGCCUGAUCCAGCCAUACCGCGUGGGUGAAGAAGGCCUUCGGGUUGUAAAGCCCUUUUGUUGGGAAAGAAAAGCAGCAGGUUAAUACCCCGCUGUUCUGACGGUACCCAAAGAAUAAGCACCGGCUAACUUCGUG
rnacentral:rRNA from 1 species